GACCCAGUGGUGUAAUGGUAACACAUAGUUUAAUUGCAACAUCUUGCUUAUGUAUAUGAUCCUUGUUCAAUUCAGGGUUGGGUCG